GCAAACUCUUUAAUGAAAUAGUUCUUAAAAAUGAUGUUUGGCCAGGAAAAUAAACACUUAACAUGACAGUUUCAUGACAUAGUCUGUGAUGUGGAAGCCAGCCUCUGGCUAGUGAUGAUAACCACACUGCCAGAUGGAUGUUCUACAGUCUCACACUGACUGGUCUAAUAAGGGAGCCAUUUAGAGGCAUCCUCGGCUUCAAUAAUGACUCAUUGUCCUGGGAAACUUCCCUUUCUAUGAGAAUGAGCCCUGGAGUUGCUCGUAAUUUCAUGGUCACUAUGACAACUCUGAACCUUUCAGAGACACUCUGGAUCUGUGGAUCUGAUUUUUAGGGAGUGCUGGAGUGGGGAGGUAAUACCACCAUCACUUAUUGAAAUCUAAAGUAAAAUUAUUGUCAUCCAAUAAAUUCAAAUUACCCUGUUCACCAUUAAUCCAGCCUAUAAAAGGCACCUUGCAAAGUGAGCCACAAUAAGUAUGUAUUCAUGGCACAAUAGCACCCAAAUCUAGGCACUUUCUC
rnacentral:lncRNA from 1 species